GGGGGUACCCGGUUCUUCUUCACGCCCUCACGCCGGAUGGUCACCUUAGUGUUAGCUGAGAGCACACGCUUUGCGGCUUACACAGUUCGAAGGUGAUUUUGAUGGGGUGAUGAGCCGCCCACGAAGCUGAACUAGAAACUUAGCCCACUUUAACAAAGAGGGGCGGGCGGAGGCGCGUUUGAGCCCUGGGGACGGGGCGAGCGAGGGCACCCCUAAGGAGUAUU
ncrna:unclassified sequences lysM-Actino RNA